GGAAUUCCUUCUGUCUAGUGGUUAGGAUCUUCGGUUCGGAACCCAAAGGUCCCCAGUUCUAUUCUCGUAAUGCCA